AUGAACGCUGGCGGCGUGCCUCAUCCAUGCCAGUCGAGCGAACGGACGCGAAGCUUGCUUCUCUGAUGUUAGCGGCGGACGGGUGAGUAACACGUGGAUAACCUACCUAUACGACUGGGAUAACUUCGGGAAACCGUAGCUAAUACCGGAUAAUAUUUUGAACCGCAUGGUUCAAAAGUGAAAGACGGUCUUGCUGUCACUUAUAGAUGGAUCCGCGCUGCAUUAGCUAGUUGGUAAGGUAACGGCUUACCAAGGCAACGAUGCAUAGCCGACCUGAGAGGGUGAUCGGCCACACUGGAACUGAGACACGGUCCAGACUCCUACGGGAGGCAGCAGUAGGGAAUCUUCCGCAAUGGGCGAAAGCCUGACGGAGCAACGCCGCGUGAGUGAUGAAGGUCUUCGGAUCGUAAAACUCUGUUAUUAGGGAAGAACAUAUGUGUAAGUAACUGUGCACAUCUUGACGGUACCUAAUCAGAAAGCCACGGCUAACUACGUG
rnacentral:rRNA from 1 species